rnacentral:rRNA from 1 species
GACAGAGGGUGCAAACGUUGUUCGGAAUUACUGGGCGUAAAGCGCGUGUAGGCGGUUGGGUAAGUCGGAUGUGAAAGCCCCGGGCUCAACCCGGGAAGUGCAUUCGAUACUACUUGGCUAGAGUACUGGAGAGGAUGGUGGAACUCUCGGUGUAGAGGUGAAAUUCGUAGAUAUCGAGAAGAACACCGGCGGCGAAGGCGGCCAUCUGGACAGAUACUGACGCUGAGACGCGAAAGCGUGGGGAGCAAACAGG